rnacentral:rRNA from 1 species
UCCGUAGGUGGAUUAAUAAGUCAGAGGUGAAAUCCUGCAGCUCAACUGUAGAACUGCCUUUGAAACUGUUAAUCUUGAGUCAUUAUGAAGUGGUUAGAAUGUGUAGUGUAGCGGUGAAAUGCAUAGAUAUUACACAGAAUACCGAUUGCGAAGGCAGAUCACUAAUAAUGUACUGACACUGAGGGACGAAAGCGUGGGGAGCGAACAGGAUUAGAUACCCUGGUAGUC